CUGGAAAACCCCCCCCCCCCCCCCCCCCCCCCCCUUAAGGGUUUUUUUAGCUGGAAAAAUCGCCAGCCGGAAGCUGCCGGUUAAACUUUUCCAGGUUUGUUUGGAUUUUUUUCCGUCUAAUCUGACCCUUCCAGCGCCUCUGACCUGCUGGGAAUGGCUACAGCAAACACGUUCCCAGCGCUGCACAGCCAGAAACACCCCAAAUUCACAAAUACCCCGAAUCCACGCUGGUUUAGGACUGUGUUUUUAAAUUUCUCAACGGCUCUCAAGAAUCCGACCAACUUCAGCAGAGGAACAGAGACCUACUCAGCAGAGUCUGGGCACCGACAACACCUGUCCCAGAAAUUCCCUCUCUGCUUCCAAACCAAAAGUAAAAAAAAAAUUAACUUCACAUUUUCUACAUCAAGUCGCCCCAUAGACUGUUGUUCUGGCCACACCAGCAUCCAAAUGGCUUGGAGAAUUAAUUCCCAGUCCCAUGGGGAAGUGGUACCUCCCAGCAGAGCCGUGCUGUGUUUGUGCUGGAGGGACCCCAGCCCCACUGGCCACGACUCAAUUUUGAGCAGAGAAGGACAGAGCUGCCCCUGGGGUGCGUUUUGCAGGCGGGGAUUUGCAGACCAAGCAAUGCAGAGGUUUAAUAUCCCUGCCAAGGAGCAGGGAACACCCCAGGCUGUUGUGCAGGUUCGUGAAUAUCACUGCUCCUGGGGGCUCCUGCCUGGCUGUGAUGCAUGGAACUCCUUUGUGCGGUGAUCUGGCCCCAUUAGGCAGCCGAGGGGCAAUGUCCUAGAGCCGCUGAUGGUGAGCCAGUGCUGGUGGUGACCCACAGAGGAACCAGCUCUUCCCCCAGCGAAACCACCCAUCCCACCUGGGUUUACUGACCCAUCUACGAGCAAACCUCCCCGUGGCCCUGAGGGAGGUAUGGAAGUGAAUUCCCCUUCUCCUGCAGGGGAAGGCAGCGCAGCCCCUGUCAGCUGUCCCACAGCAGGUUUGGUCCUGCUGAAGUCCUGGCAGAGGUCCUGCUGCCCUCCCUGUGCUCCCACUGCUCGGGUUUUGUCCCCUCCGAUGAGAAAAGCCAUCCCAGGGCUCUGCCGACUCAGGGAUGCAGGAUUCUCCACAGCAGUGAGGUACAAGUGAGGUCCCUUCCCACCCAAACCGUUCUCUGGUUCUGUGACAGCACAGAAUCCCAUUACCACAGGUGGUGGAGCUUCAUGGCCACGUCUCCUCUCCCUGCAGCCCUUUUUCCCUCUCCCUCUGCUCCUCUGCCCUGUCCUUCUUUUCCUACUGCUGUUCUCCCUGCCCUCUCCCUCCAUCCCUUCUUUCCCAUCCCAUUCCAUCCCUUUCCCCCAUCCCUUACCCCCAUCCCUUUCCCCUCUCCCUUUCUCCCAUCCCGUUCCAUCCCUUUCCCCAUCCCUUUUCCCACCCCCCCCCCCCCCCCCCCCCCCCCCCCCCCCCCCCCCCCCCCCCCCCCCCCCCCCCCCCCCCCCCCCCCCCCCCCCCCCCCCC
rnacentral:lncRNA from 12 species